UACGUAGGUCCCGAGCGUUGUCCGGAUUUAUUGGGCGUAAAGCGAGCGCAGGUGGUUUAUUAAGUCUGGUGUAAAAGGCAGUGGCUCAACCAUUGUAUGCAUUGGAAACUGGUAAACUUGAGUGCAGGAGAGGAGAGUGGAAUUCCAUGUGUAGCGGUGAAAUGCGUAGAUAUAUGGAGGAACACCGGUGGCGAAAGCGAUUUGCUGGGCCAUUACUGACGCUCAUGCACGAAAGCGUGGGGAGCAAAUAGG
rnacentral:rRNA from 1 species